rnacentral:rRNA from 1 species
GCUAUUUAGGUAGCGCCUCGUGAAUUCAUCUCCGGGGGUAGAGCACUGUUUCGGCAAGGGGGUCAUCCCGACUUACCAACCCGAUGCAAACUGCGAAUACCGGAGAAUGUUAUCACGGGAGACACACGGCGGGUGCUAACGUCCGUCGUGAAGAGGGAAACAACCCAGACCGCCAGCUAAGGUCCCAAAGUCAUGGUUAAGUGGGAAACGAUGUGGGAAGGCCCAGACAGCCAGGAUGUUGGCUUAGAAGCAGCCAUCAUUUAAAGAAAGCGUAAUAGCUCACUGGUCGAGUCGGCCUGCGCGGAAGAUGUAACGGGGCUAAACCAUGCACCGAAGCUGCGGCAGCGACGCUUAUGCGUUGUUGGGUAGGGGAGCGUUCUGUAAGCCUGUGAAGGUGUGCUGUGAGGCAUGCUGGAGGUAUCAGAAGUGCGAAUGCUGACAUAAGUAACGAUAAAGCGGGUGAAAAGCCCGCUCGCCGGAAGACCAAGGGUUCCUGUCCAACGUUAAUCGGGGCAGGGUGAGUCGACCCCUAAGGCGAGGCCGAAAGGCGUAGUCGAUGGGAAACAGGUUAAUAUUCCUGUACUUGGUGUUACUGCGAAGGGGGGACGGAGAAGGCUAUGUUGGCCGGGCGACGGUUGUCCCGGUUUAAGCGUGUAGGCUGGUUUUCCAGGCAAAUCCGGAAAAUCAAGGCUGAGGCGUGAUGACGAGGCACUACGGUGCUGAAGCAACAAAUGCCCUGCUUCCAGGAAAAGCCUCUAAGCAUCAGGUAACAUCAAAUCGUACCCCAAACCGACACAGGUGGUCAGGUAGAGAAUACCAAGGCGCUUGAGAGAACUCGGGUGAAGGAACUAGGCAAAAUGGUGCCGUAACUUCGGGAGAAGGCACGCUGAUAUGUAGGUGAAGUCCCUCGCGGAUGGAGCUGAAAUCAGUCGAAGAUACCAGCUGGCUGCAACUGUUUAUUAAAAACACAGCACUGUGCAAACACGAAAGUGGACGUAUACGGUGUGACGCCUGCCCGGUGCCGGAAGGUUAAUUGAUGGGGUCAGCGCAAGCGAAGCUCUUGAUCGAAGCCCCGGUAAACGGCGGCCGUAACUAUAACGGUCCUAAGGUAGCGAAAUUCCUUGUCGGGUAAGUUCCGACCUGCACGAAUGGCGUAAUGAUGGCCAGGCUGUCUCCACCCGAGACUCAGUGAAAUUGAACUCGCUGUGAAGAUGCAGUGUACCCGCGGCAAGACGGAAAGACCCCGUGAACCUUUACUAUAGCUUGACACUGAACAUUGAGCCUUGAUGUGUAGGAUAGGUGGGAGGCUUAGAAGUGUGGACGCCAGUCUGCAUGGAGCCGACCUUGAAAUACCACCCUUUAAUGUUUGAUGUUCUAACGUUGACCCGUAAUCCGGGUUGCGGACAGUGUCUGGUGGGUAGUUUGACUGGGGCGGUCUCCUCCUAAAGAGUAACGGAGGAGCACGAAGGUUGGCUAAUCCUGGUCGGACAUCAGGAGGUUAGUGCAAUGGCAUAAGCCAGCUUGACUGCGAGCGUGACGGCGCGAGCAGGUGCGAAAGCAGGUCAUAGUGAUCCGGUGGUUCUGAAUGGAAGGGCCAUCGCUCAACGGAUAAAAGGUACUCCGGGGAUAACAGGCUGAUACCGCCCAAGAGUUCAUAUCGACGGCGGUGUUUGGCACCUCGAUGUCGGCUCAUCACAUCCUGGGGCUGAAGUAGGUCCCAAGGGUAUGGCUGUUCGCCAUUUAAAGUGGUACGCGAGCUGGGUUUAGAACGUCGUGAGACAGUUCGGUCCCUAUCUGCCGUGGGCGCUGGAGAACUGAGGGGGGCUGCUCCUAGUACGAGAGGACCGGAGUGGACGCAUCACUGGUGUUCGGGUUGUCAUGCCAAUGGCACUGCCCGGUAGCUAAAUGCGGAAGAGAUAAGUGCUGAAAGCAUCUAAGCACGAAACUUGCC